GCAAACCGCCGAUGGCCCGCGUAAGCGGGAUCAGGUAAGGGUGAAAGGGUGCGGUAAGAGCGCACCGCGCGGCUGGUAACAGUCCGUGGCACGGUAAACUCCACCCGGAGCAAGGCCAAAUAGGGGUUCAUAAGGUACGGCCCGUACUGAACCCGGGUAGGCUGCUUGAGCCAGUGAGCGAUUGCUGGCCUAGAUGAAUGACUGUCCACGACAGAACCCGGCUUAUCGGUCAGUUUCACCU
rnacentral:RNase_P_RNA from 1 species